AACUGGUCGUUUGCUGCUGAUGUGAACAUGUCAAAUGUAAAUGUGAUGUAGAGAUUGGAGUCGUCAUCAGACGAUAAAGAGGAAGGACCAAUGAUGUGAAGGCCCAGAUCCAUCAGAGGAUCAAUGUUCUUGGUCUGUCUCCUCCCCUCUCACUGCAGACAUGAAACACUGGCUGAGAAACAUCCUGAUUCUGACUCUCUGGAUAGAGUGUAAAGGAGAAGACAAAGUGACCCAGCCAACAGGAGAUGUCACUGCUGUUCAAGGACUCACACUGACUCUACAAUGUACAUUUGAGACCAGUGACACUAAUGCAUAUCUGUACUGGUACAAACAGGAAGUGAAUGAUUAUCCCAGAUACAUGUUACAGAAAAAUAAAUUUGUAUCAAAAACGGUUAAAGCUCCCGAGUUCACGGACGACAGAUUUGACGCCAAGAUCAACCAGACCUCAUUUCCUCUGAAGAUCCAGAAGCUUCAUGUGUCAGACUCUGCUGUGUACUACAAACUGCACGAGUCGGGGUCACCAAUGACCUUGGUAUGUCUGCAGAUGCUGAUUCUCCUUCUCCUGCUCAUUCUCCUCAACUGCACUGUGACCUUUGACACCAUCGACCACCACAUCCUCCUCAACCGCCUCCAAACUGAUACUGGUUUCUGUUACACCACUAUGGACUGGUUAACCUCCUGUCUCUGCUCACCUCAGCCCCUCCUCUACCUCACCAUCUUCAUCAUCAUCAUCAUCAUCACCCCUUCCUCCGCCCACCACCCUCACUACCUCUUGGUGAAUAAUUGA